rfam:Brachypodium distachyon strain Bd21 chromosome 4, whole genome shotgun sequence.
UAAAUAUUCCUCCGUCCAACAAAGGAUGUCUAAAUUUUGACUAAAUUUAAAUGCAUCUAUACACUAAGUCAUGUAUAAAUACAUUUAAAUUUUGACAAACUUGAGACAUCUUUUGUUGGACGGAGGGGGUAUAAU